CCUACGGGUGGCAGCAGUGAGGAAUAUUGGUCAAUGGGCGUAAGCCUGAACCAGCCAAGUCGCGUGAGGGAUGAAGGUUCUAUGGAUCGUAAACCUCUUUUAUAAGGGAAUAAAGUGUGGGACGUGUCCUAUUUUGUAUGUACCUUAUGAAUAAGGAUCGGCUAACUCCGUGCCAGCAGCCGCGGUAAUACGGAGGAUCCGAGCGUUAUCCGGAUUUAUUGGGUUUAAAGGGUGCGUAGGCGGCCUUUUAAAUCAGAGGUGAAAGUCUGGGGCUCAAACAUAGAAUUGCCGUUGAAACUGGGGGGCUUGAGUAUGUUUGAGGCAGGCGGAAUGCGUGGUGUAGCGGUGAAAUGCAUAGAUAUCACGCAGAACCCCGAUUGCGAAGGCAGCCUGCCAGGCCAUGACUGACGCUGAUGCACGAAAGCGUGGGGAUCAAACAGGAUUAGAUACCCCUGUAGUC
rnacentral:rRNA from 1 species